rnacentral:pre_miRNA from 1 species
AGUGGAAUAACUGGAUCAAAUGGUUGUUCCAUUCCAUGUUUUCUAAGGAAUCUCCAUACUGCUUUCCAUAAAGGUUACACCAAUUUGCCAUCCCACCAGCAAU